GCCGAUGUAGCUCAAUGGCAGAGCAAUCCCUUCGUAAGGGAAAGGUUGUCGGUUCAAGUCCGACCAUCGGCUCCA
rnacentral:tRNA from 1 species